rnacentral:rRNA from 1 species
ACGCUGGCGGCGUGCUUAACACAUGCAAGUCGACGAUGAAGCCUAGCUUGCUAGGUGAUUAGUGGCGAACGGGUGAGUAAUACGUGAGCGACCUACCUUUGACUCUGGGAUAAGCCUGGGAAACUGGGUCUAAUACCGGAUACGACCAAUCUCCGCAUGGGGUGUUGGUGGAAAGCGUUAUGGAGUGGUUUUAGAUGGGCUCACGGCCUAUCAGCUUGUUGGUGAGGUAAUGGCUUACCAAGGCGACGACGGGUAGCCGGCCUGAGAGGGUGACCGGCCACACUGGGACUGAGACACGGCCCAGACUCCUACGGGAGGCAGCAGUGGGGAAUAUUGCACAAUGGGCGCAAGCCUGAUGCAGCGACGCCGCGUGAGGGAUGACGGCCUUCGGGUUGUAAACCUCUGUUAGCAUCGAAGAAGCGAAAGUGACGGUAGGUGCAGAGAAAGCGCGCU